ensembl:rRNA 5S_rRNA 5S ribosomal RNA
GCUUACGGCCACACCGGCCUGAGUACGCCUGAUCACGUCCGAUCUCGGAAGCUAAGCAGGGUCGGGCCUGGUUAGUACUUGGAUGGGAGACCGCCUGGGAAUACCAGGUGCUGUAAGCU